rnacentral:lncRNA from 1 species
CAAGAACCGUGGGACAACCACAAAAAGUGUAACGUACACGGCCUGGAAAUACUGAAGAGGAGGAGAAAGGCACAGAAGCAAUAUUUGAAAGAAUAAUGACUGCAGAUUUCCCCAAAUUAACGUCAGACACCAAACACAGAUCUAGGAAGUUCAGAGCAUACCAAGCCGAGUAAUUCCCCCCAAAAAACUACAGCUAAGCAUAUUAUACUCAAACGACAGAAAACCAAAAAGAAAGAAAAAAAUCUUGACGCCAGAGGCAAAAAGAACACCUUAUCUGUAGGGGAACAAAGAUAAAAAUUACAUCCAACUUCUCAGAAAUCAGGCAAGCACAAAAGGGAGUGAAGUGAAAUAUUUAAAGUAUUAAGAGAAAGGAACCACAAACUAGAAUUCUGUAUCCUGUGAAAUUUCCUUCAAAGUGAAGGAGAAAUCAAGACUUUCUCUGACAAACAAAAAUUGAGAGAAUUUGUUGCCAGUAGUCCUGCCUUGUAAGAAAUGUUAAAAGAACUUCUUCAGAGAAAAGGAAAAUGUUAUAGCUCAGAAAAUUGGGUGUGCCUCAAAAAAUGAAGAGUGACAGAAGGAAUCAGUGAAGGAACUUCUACAUGUCCUUCAAGGCCCAGAAAAUGCCACUUCUUCCAGGAAGCCCUCCACACCCUUCUUCCACCCAGUCAGGCAGAACUCUUGUCUCUUUCCUGAGAGCCCCACAGCACCUCCCACCACCUAGGCAAUGGCACCCGUCACUGUGCCUGGGAAUUACCUGACAAUGCCUGUGCCAGACUGUGUGCACCAGUGCCUUGAAGAAGCCUCCCAAGAAUCCUUGGAGGGAGAUGAAGAAGACGAUGAUGACGGCAGCAAAGACUGGCCAGGUGCAAAGCCGGCUCGAAGCCUUCUACAUAUGCUGCUAGACCCUUCUACCCUCACAACAGCCGGGUGAGGUGGGUACUAUUAUUACAGGCCCAUCUGACAGAUGAGGAAACUGAGGUCCAGAGAGGCAAAUGCACUUGCCCCGGGUCACACUGGAAGUGACAGAGCCAGGAGCUAACCCCGCAGUGUUCCAGAUACCAUGGUGUUCCCACAGUGCUUCGGCCCUUUCCAGAUGAGGACGCUGAGGCUCUUUCCCUGAGCCCGAACUCACCAUCCCCAUGAGGAGCAGAGGCAUAAUUUGCACCCAGGAGCCUGUGAUGCCAGAGCGCCACACUCCCA